UGCAGUCGAACGGAAACAUGUCUAGCUUGCUAGAUGAUGUCGAGUGGCGGACGGGUGAGUAAUGCUUGGGAACUUGCCUUUGCGAGGGGGAUAACAGUUGGAAACGACUGCUAAUACCGCAUAAUGUCUACGGACCAAANNGGGCUUCGGCUCUGGCGCAAAGAGAGGCCCAAGUGAGAUUAGCUAGUUGGUGAGGUAAAGGCUCACCAAGGCAACGAUCUCUAGCUGUUCUGAGAGGAAGAUCAGCCACACUGGGACUGAGACACGGCCCAGACUCCUACGGGAGGCAGCAGUGGGGAAUAUUGCACAAUGGGGGAAACCCUGAUGCAGCCAUGCCGCGUGUGUGAAGAAGGCCUUCGGGUUGUAAAGCACUUUCAGUUGUGAGGAAAAGUUAGUAGUUAAUACCUGCUAGCCGUGACGUUAACAACAGAAGAAGCACCGGCUAACUCCGUGCCAGCAGCCGCGGUAAUACGGAGGGUGCGAGCGUUAAUCGGAAUUACUGGGCGUAAAGCGCACGCAGGCGGUUUGUUAAGCUAGAUGUGAAAGCCCCGGGCUCAACCUGGGACGGUCAUUUAGAACUGGCAGACUAGAGUCUUGGAGAGGGGAGUGGAAUUCCAGGUGUAGCGGUGAAAUGCGUAGAUAUCUGGAGGAACAUCAGUGGCGAAGGCGACUCCCUGGCCAAAGACUGACGCUCAUGUGCGAAAGUGUGGGUAGCGAACAGGAUUAGAUACCCUGGUAGUCCACACCGUAAACGCUGUCUACUAGCUGUUUGUGACUUUAAGUCGUGAGUAGCGAAGCUAACGCGAUAAGUAGACCGCCUGGGGAGUACGGCCGCAAGGUUAAAACUCAAAUGAAUUGACGGGGGCCCGCACAAGCGGUGGAGCAUGUGGUUUAAUUCGAUGCAACGCGAAGAACCUUACCUA
rnacentral:rRNA from 1 species